ensembl:lncRNA
CACAGUUGGAAGGAACCUCAAGAGAUCAUUGAGUACAUCAUCCCUGGCAAAGCAGUAUUUCAGAACUUGACUCACUUUGGAAGACUGCCAAUAGUGCAAACUUGGAAUGAGGAGAAGAUCCCUCACUGCAAACUUUCAACCCAUGGUAAGGGCAAAAUUCUAGCCAAGGUGCCAGCAGGAUCUACACUGCACUGGGGAAAGCUCAUGUGAAAGCAAAAGCCCACCAGAAGCCAACAACUCCCAGGAGAGCAGCGGACAAGACACAGACAGAGCCAGGAGUAACAGUGACCCCCCUCCACUCUACCACUUCCAACACAUAACACACUUGCAAGAGUUCCAGUCAUGUUAUCCACCCAAAAGAAAGCUAUGUCCUCUGCAUCUCCUGUGGCCUUUCCAGCAUCUGGAACUGACCGAGUUACCCAGACAGAGCCCCCAAGUGAACAUGCUUCCAUUGAGAUCUCAGUUUUUGAGGUGUGCCCAGGUUUUCUGUCAGGAGAUGGAUUGGUGGGAUCACAAUCUACUAUCCCUGAAACAGAAGCAUCAGCCAAUUGUAACACAGGAAAUGAAAUAUUCCCUACUCUCUUGCCAUAAAGGAGAAGGAGGGAACCUAAGAUUCAGGGUUGAGUGGAAGCAGAUUUCUGCUCAGAAAAAGGCAAAUCACCUCUCCUGCCUACCUCACGUUCCAAGAUGUCUUUAUAAAAGUUGUAUGAAACUCUGGAAUGUAAUGGACAGACAAACGAUAACGCAGAUGGUCUGUCCAGGUUGGAGGGGUUGCCUAGGGCAAGUCAACCUAGUCCCUGUGUCACUGCCACCUCUGUCAAGAAAAAACAGAAGGGUUUUUCUCACAAGUAUUUCCCUUCUGAGGGGAAUAGAGGGCCCAAUAUGUCAACCAGACCCAAUCCAUUGGGGUGCAUCAGGCCCAGCACUGCCAGCUGAGCAAGAAAAAGGAUUGUUCUACUGUAUGGGGAUUGGUAGGUCAUGGCCUAACCAGAGAUUCAGUAACGGCUGAGAAGGCUAACUCAGGGCACACACAUAGAAGCAAUGCACCUGGACCAAAGGUCUAUCUCUCCUCCCUCUCAUUU